rnacentral:rRNA from 1 species
CCCUUGAGGGUCCUAAAGGGCCGUUGGAGACCACAACGUUGAUAGGUGGGGUGUGUAAGCGUAGCGAUACGUUGAGCUAACCCAUACUAAUUACCCGUGAGGCUUAACCAU